UUUAAGUUCAUUGUUUGAGUUUCUUGGUCGAUCAUUUAGAAUAAAGAAGAUACAGAAUGAAACAUAGUGAGUUUUUUUUGGGGUCAUGCAAUUUCAUUUUAACUAUCAGAAUUCAGAUAUGUGUAUCAUAGGGAGGGGGGUUUGAUAAAGGGAUAUGGGUAUCACUUAUAUAACAUUUAUUUUUCUUCAAUGUGUUUCCUUUUUUAGGUUUCCAGUUGAUAGAUAGUUGGGGAGCAUAAGCAUGAGAGUUCUCUUCCAUUUUGGUGAGAUGUUUUCUCAAUGUGGAUAUUCCCUUCAAUUUCUAUGAUGACACACCAAAUGUACAUCAUCUGUUUACUUAGAUUCAGUUCUUGUCAACUCUUGCAUGCUGGUAAAUUACAAUUGAGUUAGGUUGUCCUUUCUUAUUAGUAAGUAACCUUUUGAUUUGACCUUAAGUUCACUUGUUUUCCCUUCUUUUUUCGGGUCUCUCUAUAAAGAUUUAUGUGCUCACCUAUUUAUAGUUUUUACUAGUUUCCAGUUUAUUAUUUUCCCUUAUUGAGUUCUUUCCAUGACCUUUUUUAUGUUGUUAUACAUGAGCUAUGCAGUUGUAUAUUUGCAAUUGUUCACUUCUCUUGAAUGUGUACCAAUUUUUUUUUUUUUUUUUUUUUUAAAUAUUGUAUCAUAAUCGAGGACUUUCUUUUGCUUUUCCUUAACAAUGGAGCAUUUUAGAUAGUUCAAAUUUUGUGGUGAAAUCUAGAUUAUUUACCUUUUGAUUGUAAAUCUAAAGAUUGCUCAUGCACAGAUUAUGUUCUUGUCAACUCUUGCACAUUGGUGAAUUUCAUUUUAGCUGGUUUUCUCUUCUUUUCACCUGAUCUUUUCAUAUCUAUAGGCAUCCUAUCUAUUUAUUGCAGACUAGUGAACUUCCAUCAUUAUGUUCUUGAAAUCUUGAUUGUUCAACUUUUAAUUAUGAAUCGUAAGAUCAUCUGAGUUUUUUUUCUACAAUUCCUAUUGUAGCUCACUUAAUGCACAUAUAUUUACUCUGAUUUGGUUCUUGUCAACUCAUAAAUGGUGUUAAAUUGCAACUGAGAUACCUGUUAAAUCCAUGUAAAAUGACUAUUUUGCCACAUUUUUUUUUUAUUUUUACUAAUUCUUCUGUACAUGAACUCAUAACAAUGAACUUUGAAUCGACUGAUCCAGACUUCCAUUUAUACUUCUCAUGAACUGUAUCGUAUUUCUUAUUAGGAAUCAACUUUAUUGAUGUUAAAUCAACUCUCUUAACGUUUGUUUUUUCUUAUUUCAACAUGUUUCAUGUUUUGGUCUUUUCUAUCUUGCUCAUAUUUGUUGGUUGAAUCUUUCUAAUCUCUAAUAGUACCACUUUCAGGUAUAUAUUUAUUAUUCAUCUUUUUAUUUUGUUGGCUAAGCUUUUAAUUAAUGUAUUCUGUUGUGGUUUGAAAGAUAAAGGGAUAUCAUUGUCACUUCUAUGAGUUUUACUUUCUAUUCAAAAAUAUUAAUUCUCUGAUUUGUAGUUUUUACUAGUUUGCAGUUAAAGGGACUGGUUAUAUCAGUUAAAUCGAUUUACUUUCUUCGAAAUCCUUUCAUCUUUUUAAUAUUUUACUGUAAUGAGGAAGUUCAACUCUGUUUAUGACUUUCUUCUGGUUUUCCUUAACGGCAAAUUAAGCAGCUUUUUAUGUUGUUUAUUUGUUUUAUGAAGCAUCCUAAAAAUAAAAGUGUAGUGAGCUUUCAGCAUUCUAUAUAUAAUUAAAAACUAUAUUAUUUACCUUUUGAUAUUAAUAUUAAGAUCAUGUCAUCUUUUUUCUACAGUUUUGAUGGUGACACAAAAUGCAUAUAUGUUUACUCACUCAGAUUCAGCUCUUGUCAACUCCUGUAUGUUGCUAAAUUGCAAUCUAGAUUAUUAACCUUUUGAUUAUGAAUCUUAAGAUCGUAUCAAAAUUUUCUACUCAUAUUUAGUUAUUUCAAGCUAUGGAUGGUGAUUUUCUUCUCAUAUUUAGAUUAUUAACCUUUUUAUAACGGUGUAAUUAAGUUUCACGUUAUACUACUUGAAAUCUAAAAUAAUUAACCUUUUCAUUCGAGUAUAAGUUCAUUUGUUUUUACCCUUCUUUUUCGGGUCCCUCUAUAAGUUUUUUAUGUUCUCACCUUUUUAUAGUUUUUACUAGUUUCCACUUUAUUUUUUUUCCCCUUUUGAGUUCUGUCAAUGAGCUUUUUUAUGUAGUUGCACAUGAGCUAUGCUGUAGUAUAUUUGCCUUCUUAUUUGGAGAUGGAAAUUGUUCACUUCUCUUGAAUGUGUACCAAUUUUAUUUUUUUAAACUCAAUUAUUUUUAUGUUUUGACUUAAUAAGCCUAAUGGUUUAACUACUUAAUCCGGACAGCUAUAUAGAUGACUGUUUCUUUUUUAGUGUUUAAUACCCAGACAGAAUGAAUCAACUUAACUUAAUGUAUUAAGACACUAACAUUUUACAUAUCUGUCUUUUGUUACAAUGUUGAAUAUCUAUUAAUUUGUCGGAAAUUGAGGGUAAAAUUGUCAUUUAGUCUCAUUUAGACAGUUUAUUCAGUCUAAAAAGGAAACAUGCCUUAUGUAUACAACAUUUUAUCCAUACAAACUUCUCUACCCAUUCUAUGUCUACCUCUGUUAGCAUGUUUAUGUUGUUUAUAAGUUACAUGAAAUUGAUAAGCUUAGGCAUGAUGAUGAUAUUGAAGUGUCUUUGUUUUUAUACAGUCUUUAUAGUUGCUAUGAUGACUAAAUGCAGGUAUGUUUUACUCAUAUUUCCUUCUCAUCAACUCUCUAUUCAGACACUCGGUUCAUAGCUGUGUAGAUUAUUAUAUUAACCUUUUGAUUUUUAAUCUAAAGAGAAUCUCAUUCUUUUUCUACAGUUUCUAUGGUGGCAACAGGUUUAUGCAUCCAAAUAUUCUGUUUUUGUUAACUUGUGUGUGGUGGUAAAUUUGUAAUUGAGAUGGUUUAUCCUUUCUUAUUCACCUACUUCUCUUACAUCGCCUUUAGAUUUUCAUUAUGAAUCUUAAUUAAUAAAAUCUAAUUUAUUUAUUAUACAGGUGUGCUAUAUAUAGUGGAGCAAAAUACUGAAAGUUAGCUCUUCUCAACCGAUGCUUAAUUUGUGAAUUGAUACCACUGAUCAUAGCAAAGGCGAAAGAGACCAUAUCAACCUCUCCAAACUUUCCUUUUUAAAAAAAAAAUAAAAAAAUAUAAGGACCCUUUUAAGCCCUUAAUCUUAUGCUAAUUUUUAUGGAUCCUUGUUACUUACUGUAGGUUUAAACUCAGAGCAGGAUGAGGAUAAUAUGACUUUUAAAAGCCCAAAGCAGCUGGUUUGCUUUCAUCCAAAUUCUAAAUUGCUUUCUUAAUACAUUAAAAAAACUCUCUUAUAUAAUUAUAAAAAUAUAUUUAAUGUCUUAGCUUAUUUUUAUAGCUCAUUUUCACCUUAAUGAUCUUUUUUGAUUGACUAUUUUCAUUUUCCAACCUCUAGUUUGCACUUUGUUUUCGAAUAUUGACCAAAAAUGAUUUUUCUUGCAUAUUUGAUUGUUGUAGUUUCAUUUUUUUUUUUAAUAUAAGUUAGCUGUUAAAUCCAUGUAGAAUGACUAUUUUGCACUAAGUGUAUCCACAACAAUGAACUUUGAAGCAUAAUUGGCACUAAGUGUAUCCACAUGUUUAAUUGAUUAUGAUGAUUUUGAAAUCAUCUGGUCUUUUUUCUACAGCUGUUAUGGUGGCACUAAUUCAUGGUUGAGCUUAACUUAUUGUCAACUCUUCUUUGCAUGGUUAUUUUCUGUACACAAGUUAUGCACUAUUAAUAUAUGAUGUUUUUGAUUAAGCAAGCUAGGAGGCAUCCUGCAUUUUUAGAGCAAUCUAAUGAACUUUCAUCAUUCUAUGCUUCAACUUAUUAACUUUCUCAAAUCACAAUGGAGCUGGUUUUUUUUUUUUCUACAGUUACAUGGUGUUAAAUUGCAAUUGAGAUAGUUUGUUGUUUCUUAUUCACCCACUCUAUUCAAUUUACUACCAUCCUUACCUAUCAACUUUAAUCAUUUUUGUACUUAGAAAUUUAUAUCAAUAGCCUUAUACUACUAAAUUACAAAUUUUGUCCCUAUUAUAUAUAUAUAACCACUUGUUUUUUUUACGCUUCAUGCUGCCUAAAGUUAGCCAUUAAAUCCAUGUUAAAUGACUAUUUUGUCACCAUUUUAAUAUUUUUACUAAUUCUGUACAAGAAGUCACAACAAUGAACUUUGAAGCAAAUGAUUUUUACUUCUCAUGAGGUGUGUAGUAUUUACACUGUUUUUUUUUCCAACUAUUUGUCUGUUGUACACUAUUUAGUAGUAUAUUUCACAACAAUGAACUUUGAAGCAAAUUUUAGUUUGGGACUUUCUUCGUAAAUUAGGGUAAAAUUUUAGGACUUUUCUGGAGAUUUCCCUUUCUUUGUGAUUAUUAAUUCAGUAAUGCUCAAUGAUCAAAAUGAUUGGUUUCAUUUGUGCAGAAAGGGAUUCCUAUCCUAUCCUCCAAAGCAUGUGGAGAGGUAUUGAUGCUCCCCUCAGUUUUAAUUAUAAGAAAUUUCUUUUGAAUGGUAGUGUUUGAUUUCAGUGAUGUUUCUUAUUUAUGGUUCAAGGUUUGGUUUGGGAAUAUCCCUCAAUAGUUGGAUUUGUCAUGAAUUGUAUUUGUAGGUGAACUUUAUUGUCUUUUUUGUCCCACAAAAUGAUAAAGUUUUAACAUCAAGAUAAGUUUUCCCAUAUUUUAAAAACAUUAUUUUACCUCUUUUUUUACUAUUAAAGUUUUUGAUUUCCAUAUCUGGUAUUCUAUCUACAUAUGAGUUCCUCAUAUACUUAUUAAAGUGUGUUUUUUUAACUCAAAAGUCUUGACAAAACUACUAUGGCUGGUAAGUUUCAUGGUGAAAACUGUUUCUUCUUUUGUUUCUUGUUAUACAACCUUAAUUAAUGUGGUGUGGUUUAGGUUGUUUGCUCUUUCCUCUUCCUUUUGAUUUUUAACCUUUCUAUUAAGAUCAUAUCACCUCGUUUUUUAUAGUUUCUAUGAUGACUAAAUGCAUGUAUGUUCUACUCAUAUUUAGUCUUCUCAUCAACUCUUUAUUCAGACACUCGAUUCAUAGCAGUGUAUAGAUUAUUAUAUUAAACUUUUCAUUUUUAAUCUUAAGAGCAUCUCGUGAAUGAAUGGUGGAAAAUUGCAAUUGAGAUAGAUGGUUUGUCCUUUUUUAUUCACCUACAUCUCUUCCAUCCAAUUGAGAUGUUGGGGUCUUUUUCUUUAUUUAAUGAAAAUUUCCAUUAUUAACCUUUUCAUUAUGAAUCUUAAUAACAUCUAAUUUAUUUAUACAGAGUCUAUAGUGGAGGAAAACACACAUAUAUGCUCACUGAAAGUCAGUUCUUGUCAACUUUUAGAUUUGUUGAUGAGUAAGCAAGCCCAAAAAAUGUGUCUUCAACCCAUGUCUAUGUAUUUCAUAUAAGGCUUUUUGCUUUUAAAAAUCUAUCAUAUUUUUCAACAUGAAGGCAUUUUCUUUUGAAAAAUCAAACCAAACAUGACAUCAUAUCUUCAUUUUUUACAUAAUAAGCACACUUCCCUUUAAAAACUCAACCCAUUUAUAGCAUUGCACUUUUUAGUUUUAUUUGUGUUAAAACGUUGCAACUCUCGAUGCAUUUUACUUUGAAAAAUAUUCAUCUUUUUCUAUGGUUGCUAUACCAAAUGUACAUCAUCUGUUUACUUAGAUUCAGUUCUUGUCAACUCUUGCAUACUGGUAAAUUACAAUUCAGUUCUUGGAAUUUAAGAUUAUAAGUAACCUUUUGAUUUGACCUUGUUUUCCCUUCUUUUUUCGGGUCUCUCUAUAAAGUUUUAUGUGCUCACAUAUUUAAUAGUUUUUACUAGUUUCCAGUUUAUUAUUUUCCCUUUUUGAGUUCUUUCCAUGACCUUGUUUAUGUUGUUAUACAUGAGCUAUGCAGUAAUAUAUCUGCCUUCUUAUCUGGAGAUGGAAAUUGUUCACUUCUCUUGAAUGUGUAUCAUUUUUCUCGAAAUCUUGAUUGUUAAACUUUUAAUUAUGAAUGCUAAGAUCAUUUGUGCUUUUUUCUUCAAUGCAUGUGGAUUUUGUUCUUGUCGAUUCAUAAAUGGUGUUAAAUUGCAAUUGAGAUAGUUUGUUGUUUCUUAUUCGCCCACUCUAUUCAUUUUACUACCAUCCUAUCUAUGAAGCAGUGCAAUGAACUUUUAUCAUUUUGCAUUUAGGAAUUUAUAUUAAUAACCUUCUAGUUAGUGUUUGAUAACAUCUCAUUGUUUUUCAAACAAAUUU